GUUUUACUGUAAUGUAGAAAAAAGAUACUUUAUUAUAACCAGAGACCAGACAGAUUAAAUGCUUAUCAAUGCUAAACAAUAAAUUAUUGACAAUUACAGUAAUGUCAUUAAAGGAUUAAGGAAUGCUUCAUAGGUAAUUAUUCCCAUGCAUAGCAACCUAAAACCACUCCAAGACAUUCAAGAUAAAAAUUAAAUUGUAACUGACAAGCAAGUCAGUUUACAGAGGUAGCUUAGAUGUUACAGAUAGUCCUUGACAUAUGACCGCAAUUGAAUCCAAAAUUUACGUUGCUAAGCAAGACAGUUGAGUUUUGUCCCAUUUUGCGAUUUAUCUUGCCACAGUUGUUAAGUGAGUUACUGCAGUUAACUUACUAACAUGGUUGUUCAGUCAAUCUGGCUUCCUCAGGGACUUUGCUUGUCAGAAGGUCACAAAAAAUUACCCCAGAACACUGCAGCUGUCAUAAAUAUGAAUCCAUUGCCAAGGAUCCAAAUUUUGAUCACAUGACAUGGGGAUGCUGCAAUGGAUGUGUGAAAAAUGGUUGUAAGCCACUUUUUUCAGUGCUUUCAGUGUAACUUUGAUCACUAAAUGAAUGGUCGUAACUUGAGGGCUACCUGUACUUCUUGUCCUACUAUGAUCACAAAAUUUUUGCAACAUUUUUGUCUCAAAGCAGCAGAAAAUUGCUUUGACCAGUUUGGAGGACAGAACAGAAAAGCUGUGAUGCAGUUCAUGCAAUAGUCACUAGAUUAUAAACUACUGGUCCCAGCAGUUUUGCUGGCAAUGUCUUUCAGAAGUGGUUUGCCCUUUACCUUCUUCCUAGAGCUGAGAGAGAGUGAAUGACCCAAGACCACCCAGCUGGCUUUGCCAUAAGGAUCAGUGCUCUCUCAUUUCCUUUUUAACAGCUAUAUGAAGCCAUAGUCAUCUGUUGGUUGGAUUGAAGUGUCAUUAGUAUGCUGAUGAUAUCCAGCUAUGUAUACCUGGCCUGAGUGAUGCCAUGGAGUGAUGCUGCAGAGUGCCAUGGGUGAUGAAAUGGCUUUCCGAGUGAUGCCAUGGGGCUCCUGUCUUGGUGCUCUGGGAUCUGGAUGGGGAUAAGCAGGCUUUGACUCAAUCGUGUAAGACCAAAUGUUUUGGGGUUGUAGGAUCUCCAAGUUCCAGGGACCUUUUAUCUUUUGUUCUAGAGCAAGUUGCACUGUCCAUACAGACCUUGUGCCUAGAUUGGGGGUUGUGUUGGACUCAUGUCUCUUCCUCAAAUGUGGCCAGAAGGCUCUUUGUAAAGCUUUGUGUGAUGUGCCAAUUGCACCUGUUCCUGGAUUGGGAGGCCUUGCUCACAGUCAUUUAUGCUCUGGAUUACUGAAAUGGGUUCUACCCAUUGAAGAGUAUUCUGGAAGCUUCAGCUGGAGCAAAAUGCACCACUGUAAGGCAGGAGGGAUAUGUGGUGGGUUCCCUCUCCAAAACAGCUUCAUCUGGCAGGGCCAGAUGUGCCAUUUCUGCUCUGGCCCCCACCUCCUGGAACAUCAUCCCAUCCAAAGGUGGGUUUCAGCAGGUUCUGACCAGUUCUGGAGAACCGGUAGUAGAAAUUUUGAGUAGUUCGGAGAACCGGUAGUAAAAAUUCUGUCUGGCCCCGCCCCCCAUCUAUUCUCUGCCUCCCAAGUCCCAGCUGAUCGGGAGAAAAUGGGGAUUUUGCAGUAUCCUUCCCUUGGAGUGGGGUGGGAGUGGAGAUUUUACAGUAUCCUUCCCCUGCCACGCCCACCAAGCCAUGCCACACCCACCAAGCCAUGCCACAUCCACAGAACCAGUAGUAAAAAAAUUUGAAACCCACUCUGUUAGCCUUCCAGAAGUCUCUUAAACUCCACCCCUUUAUUCCACCAGCCUUGGGGAUCCCAGGUGGCUGAAUGAGAUUGAAUGUGGUUUGUUCUCUCACUUUCUAGGGUUUUAUCUAUUUAUUUCAGUUGUAACUGAUUUUUAAUUGCUAGGGAGUUUUUAGCUGUUGUGGUGGUUUAUGUCACCUAGUCACAUGUUUGUGAUAUGGGUUAUGCAAGUAGUCCUCGACUUAUGACUGUAAUCGAGCCUGCCCAUUAUGGUCAUAGGUGGUACUGGUUAUUAAGAAAGGCAUUGUGAUCCCCUCACUUAGCAACCACAAUUUCUCGUCUCCCUAUUUUGGUCAUUAAGUGAUUGUGAAAGUUGUUAAAUAGAGCAUGGGAUGUUUAUGUAUCACCCCAUAGUGCUUUACAGCACUCUCCAGGCAGAUUACAAUGUCAGCAUAUUGCCCCCAACAAUCUGGAUCCUCAUUUUACCAACCGUGGAAGGAUGGAGGACCUUGAGCAUGUCAGGAUAGAACUCCUGACUGUGGGCCCAGUUAGCUUGCUUUGUCACCACUUUGUCACCAAGGUUCGUUGUUAUCUCCUGUGAGAACUAUUUGCCUUCCUGAAAAAUAUAACUUCAAUCACAAAGAAAGAAACCAAUUCAUGUACUCAGGCUUAGGUAUAGUAAGAGUAAUGAAUUAAGGUGUUAAAACGGAAAACAAAUUGCUGUUUUAUUAGUGGAAAGAUUAUGGAACGGGAACAUGUCAUUUAGAUGAGGGAGACAAACUAUUCUCCAAAGCACCUGAGGGUAGAACAAGAAGCAAUGGUUGGAAACUAAUCAAGGAGAGAAGCAAUUUAGAACUAAGGAUAAAUUUCCUGACAGUUAGAACAAUUAAUAAGUGGAACAACUUGCCUGCAGAAGUUGUGAAUGCUCCAACACUGGAAAAUUUUAAGAAAAUGUUGGAUAACCAUUUGUCUGAAAUGGUGUAGGGUUUCCUGCCUGGGCAGGGGGUUGGACUAGAAGGCCUCCAAGGUCCCUUCCAACUCUGUUAUUAUUAUCUAUAGUUAAAAUUACUCAGCCUUGUGGUUCUGCCACAUUUCAUUUUUACUCAUAUAAGAAAUGUACUAUAGAAUGUUACUUUAUAAUAAGCAGACAAUAUGUUACAAUUCUUUCUGUGCAUCAGUGUUAAUUUUCAAAUCCAGUUCUCACCUUGAAGAAAAGACAACUAAAAUGACACAAAGUAGACGUCAGAAAGUGGAAUUAAAUCUAUGGGAUAGUGAAAUCCAUGGCCCUCUUCUUUCUUCAGAAUUUUUAGCAGAUAUUGUAUAUCCUUUUCUCAGGAUAUUCCUGGGCUUUUUCGCCCAGGAAAUAAAAUUUGUUCUAAAACUUAAAAGUUUCAUAUGUUACCACUGUCCUUGAAUUCUUAGGUAAGAUGGCUGCCAGAAAGAAGGCCCAGCUUGCAAAUGAGAAAGCUCCUGAAGAAACAGCUGUUUCCACUACUCUGGAUAUUUCCUCAGCUUUGAAUGUAAACAGCUCUGGAGAUAAUUCCCAGCCCUAGAAGCCUCUCCUGAGCACAGAUUCUGGGAUGAAUUUGCAAGCUUCUAUAAACCUAUUAGCCUUCUCCCUCUAUUACAAAUGGAAGCUUCAGUAUCUUUUUACUGUCCCUGAAUUGCUGCUUGAUGGACCAGCUUCAGUAAGUAAAUGAGCAGCACGAAGAUUUUUCAUUAUGGAACAAGAUGGAAGACUAGAAAGCUGUGUCUCUUUGUUGAAGUGUGCCCCCUCUCUCUUAUUGGGCCAUCAACAAAGGGAACUAUCGACAUUCCUCUACUGUGUCAGAUGGGCUGCUGUUGUUAUACUUGUGAAAGCUGUCAAUUAAACACACUGGGAGAAAAGAUAGAUCAGGGAACAUUUAAUAGUUCCUAUUGAGUGUUUUCUGGCUGUGUUGUCAAUACUGUGAUAAUAUUUGUAACUGAUAUAUUUACAUGACAUGCCCUAUCCAAUAAAUACUCUUUUAGAUCUUAAUGUAUUGAUCCAUUAACCAAGUAUACUAAGAAAAGGCUGAAUUUCCACAAUAUGUUAAACUACUGCCUACCCACAAUCAUAGCCCAGAAUCUUACACCAUUUCUUUAUUAAAUUAUGUUAUGAAAUAUAACUAUAUUAUAUUUAUAUUACAAAUUUAUAAUAUAUAUUAUAAUGUAACUAUAUUAUAAAAUAUAAACUAAACCAGCUCCAAAAGGUUUUAAAGAAACAAGUAGCAAAAAGAUUGUCAUAACAAGGGAAUUUUGUUAGUGAUAACGUAAAUGAUACAGUUACCUAUUAAAGUGCUAAGCAGACUAGCAAAAAAAAGCAUUGUGACUCUCCAGCAGCAACAGUAGUCUUCAUGCUUUAUGCUAUUAUUUGGAAAUGCCACUCAUUUGAUCCACUGUAAUAUAACAUAGGCUUUGUUCUCAAACCCUUAUUUAGUAGUCAAGUAAUUAACAGAGGUAGCUGUUGACUUAUAACCUCAAUUGGAACCAGGAUUUCCAUUGCUAAGCAUGGUGGUUGUUAAGUGAGUUAGGAUAUUUUUUUUGCCACAAUUGUUAAGCAAAUCAUUUCAGUUGUUAAGUGAAGGGCAUGUUUUUUAAGCAAAUUGGUUUCCCCUGUUGACUUUGCUUGUUGGAAGUUGGCUGGGAAGGCUGAAAUGGCAAUCAUGUGACCCCAGGAUAUUUCAAUCAUUGUAAAAUACAUGUUGGUUGCCAAGCGCUCAAAUUUUGAGCGCCUGACCAAGGUGAUGCUGUGCAAGUCCUAAGUGUAAGGACCAGUUGCAAGUCUCUUUUUUCAGUGUCAUUGUAACUUUGGCCACUAAAUGAAGUGUAAGUUGAGGAAUAUUUAUUUAUUUUAAAAAUUUAUUGGCUGCCCAUCUUACUAUAGGGUAACUCUGGACAGCUUAGAGUUACAUUUAGGUUAAAACAAAAAGUUAAAAUCAAACAUUAAAACCAAAGAGACAUGAGAAGGGCGGGGGAGAGUGGGGGGGGGGAGCUGGGAUCUGUUAUUACUCAAUCAACCACCUCCAUUGCGCUUUUCCUCCACUGGGGCCCCAAGCCGACUGGCACAGCCACAUCUUUAGGCUCUUAUGAAAAUAUAGGAGGUCGGGGCCAACCUCACAUCGAGGGGCAAGGAGCAACAGCUGAGAAGGCCCUCCUCCUGGACCCCACCAGCCAGAAUAAUAAGGCUGACAGGACCAGCAGCAUGCCUCCUCUACCAGCACUAGGCCAAUCCCAGAGGGUAAGAUGGUCCCUCCAAUAACCUGGACCCAUGACAUGAAGAGCUUUAAAGGUGAUUACCAACAUAUUGAAUUGCACCCGGAAACAGGCUAGCAAUAGCAAUAGCACUUAGCGUUUCAUAAAGCUUUACAGCCUUCUUUAAACGGUUUACAGAUUCAGUAUAUUGCCCCCAGUAAUCUGGGUCCUCAUUUUACCAACCUCAGAAGGACAGAAAGCUGAGUCAACCUUGAGCCUGGUGAGAAUCGAACUGCCAAAGUGCUGGCAGUUGGCAGUCAGCAAAAUUAGCCUGCAAUGCUGCAUUCUAACCACUGCACCACCACAGCUCUGGUAACCAAUGCAGCUGGCAGAGCAGUGGUCUUACUGAGGCCAUUUUUGGGGCCCCCAAAACUACUCACACUGCCGCACUCUGCACCAGCUGCAGCCUCCAAAUGCUCUUCAAGGGUAGCUCUAUAUAGAGCACAUUACAAUAGUCCAGUUGUGUGAUGACUAGGGAUUGAAUGAUCGAGUUCAGGGAAUCCUGGUCCAGGAAAGACUGCAACUGGUGCACAACACAAAGAUUUGUAAAGGCUCCCCUAGCCUUGACUGCCCCCUGUUCCUCAAACAGGUCCAGGAGAACCCAGAAGUUGCAGACCGGCUCUUUCUGAGGAAGUGCCACCCCAUCAAGCAUCAAAGAUGACAAAGUCCCGGAUCCCGGAUCCCAGUGUACUCAAAGCCAUUCGGCCUUGCCAGGGUUCAGUUGAAGUCUGUUGUCCCCCAACUAGGUCCCCACAGCCUCCAGGUAUCCCGAAACGGUGGACCCAAUCACAUGGGUCACCAAGAGGAGAAAUAUACAAUUGGGAAUACCUGUUAUGUUUGUUUGUUUAUGUGAUUAUUUAUAUAUACAUUAUUUAUAUUGUACCUUUAUUAUUUUUACGUAUCACUCAAGGCGAGAACAUAUCCAACAUACCUUCCUCCUCCUAAUUUUCCCAUGACAGCCCUGUGAGGUGUGUUGGGCUGAGAGGGAAUGACUGGCCCAAACUUCGUUAACAGCUUCUAAUUUAACCUUCAUUAUUGGCCCAAAUUUUGGAAGAAAAGAUAAAGUCGGGUCAUUCUUCAAUGUACACAGAAACAAUAACAUGGCAUUGUAGAAAAUUUUCUACCUAGAGCAUCCCUGCUUGAUGGCAGCUAAUGCCUGCAGUUCUCAACAUUCAUGCCACAGCAAUUAUCUUACUUUACGUUUCCCAGAAGUUGUCAUAUAUUCUGUAUAAAGGACCACAUAUUUCUUUUUCAGCCUAGCAGAAUUUGGGAUAUGAUGUGGGACUUUUAUGAGUGGUAAGAAUGCUAAGAUAGGCCUUCCAGUUGUGAUUACAACCCACAAUGUUUUCUUGAAAAAGCUAAAAACUUCCCAAUUUUGGAACAAUUGUAAGGCAGAUGUUGACACCCCCUAGGUACAUUAAGUACUUUUCCCCAAUGAUGAGUACUGUAGUCCAAAAAGGCCUGAGACACAAAGUUAAAGACCGUGUAAAUAGUUUAUUAUUAUUUUUUUAGUACAGGUACUUUGUACAACAAUAUUUGUUUUAGAAUGGGAAUGGGCUGGAAAGAAUGGAAGUUAUAUUCUGAGUAGCAGAGAAGGAACACUGGUACGUACUUACACUAAACACAUGAUUUUU